rnacentral:rRNA from 1 species
CAGCAGCCGCGGUAAUACGUAGGGUGCGAGCGUUAAUCGGAAUUACUGGGCGUAAAGCGUGCGCAGGCGGUUUUGUAAGACAGGCGUGAAAUCCCCGGGCUCAACCUGGGAAUGGCGCUUGUGACUGCAAAGCUAGAGUGCGGCAGAGGGGGAUGGAAUUCCGCGUGUAGCAGUGAAAUGCGUAGAUAUGCGGAGGAACACCGAUGGCGAAGGCAAUCCCCUGGGCCUGCACUGACGCUCAUGCACGAAAGCGUGGGGAGCAAACAGGAUUAGAUACCCGUGUAGUCCCUGUCUCUUAUAC